rnacentral:rRNA from 1 species
CGGCGACCUAUUAGCUUGUUGGUGGGGUAAUGGCCCACCAAGGCUACGAUGGUUAGCUGGUCUGAGAGGAUGAUCAGCCACACUGGAACUGAGACACGGUCCAG